UACGGAAGGCAGCAGUGGGGAAUAUUGCACAAUGGGCGCAAGCCUGAUGCAGCCAUGCCGCGUGUAUGAAGAAGGCCUUCGGGUUGUAAAGUACUUUCAGCGGGGAGGAAGGCGAUGUGGUUAAUAACCGCGUCGAUUGACGUUACCCGCAGAAGAAGCACCGGCUAACUCCGUGCCAGCAGCCGCGGUAAUACGGAGGGUGCAAGCGUUAAUCGGAAUUACUGGGCGUAAAGCGCACGCAGGCGGUCUGUUAAGUCAGAUGUGAAAUCCCCGGGCUUAACCUGGGAACUGCAUUUUGAAACUGGCAGGCUUGAGUCUCGUAGAGGGGGUAGAAUUCCAGGUGUAGCGGUGAAAUGCGUAGAGAUCUGGAGGGAAUACCGGUGGCGAAGGCGGCCCCUGGGACGAAGACUGACGCUCAGGUGCGAAAGCGUGGGGAGCAAACAGGAUUAGAUACC
rnacentral:rRNA from 1 species